rnacentral:antisense_RNA from 1 species
UGUAGGAGUGAGCCUGCUCGCGAUAGCGCAAUGUCAGACACUGAAAGGUUGACUGUCUUACCGCUAUCGCGAGCAGGCUCACUCCCACA